rnacentral:rRNA from 1 species
AUUGAACGCUGGCGGCAUGCCUUACACAUGCAAGUCGAACGGUAACAGGUCUUCGGAUGCUGACGAGUGGCGAACGGGUGAGUAAUACAUCGGAACGUGCCUAGUAGUGGGGGAUAACUACUCGAAAGAGUGGCUAAUACCGCAUGAGAUCUACGGAUGAAAGCAGGGGAUCGCAAGACCUUGUGCCACUACAGCGGCCGAUGGCAGGGUAGGUAGUUGGUGGGAUAAAAGCUUACCAAGCCGACGAGCUGUAGCUGGUCUGAGAGGACGAUGGGCCACACUGGGACUGAGGCGAGGCCCAGACUCCUCCGGCGGGCGGCAGUGGGGAAUUUUGGACAAGGGGCGAAGGCCGCAUCCACCAAUGCCGCGUGCAGGAUGAAGGCCUUCGGGUUGUAAACUGCUUUUGUACGUAACGAAAAGCGCUGGGUUAAUACCCUGGGGUCAUGACGGUACCGCAAGAAUAAGCACCGGCUAACUACGUGCCAGCAGCCGCCGCCG